rnacentral:rRNA from 1 species
ACGCAGGAGGCGAGCGUUAUCCGGAAUUACUGGGCGUAAAGCGCAUGCAGGCGGUUUUUUAAGUCGGACGUAAAAGCUCCCGGCUUAACUGGGAGAGGUCGUUCAAUACUACUGGACUAGAGAGUGGUAGAGGGAGGUGGAAUUCCGGGUGUAGUGGUGAAAUGCGUAGAUAUCCGGAGGAACACCAGUGGCGAAAGCGGCCUCCUGGACCAUUUCUGACGCUCAGACGCGAAAGCUAGGGUAGCGAACGG